UACGUAGGGUGCAAGCGUUGUCCGGAAUUAUUGGGCGUAAAGGGCUCGUAGGCGGUUUGUCGCGUCGGGAGUGAAAACACUGGGCUUAACCGAGUGCUUGCUUUCGAUACGGGCAGACUUGAGGCAUUCAGGGGAGAACGGAAUUCCUGGUGUAGCGGUGAAAUGCGCAGAUAUCAGGAGGAACACCGGUGGCGAAGGCGGUUCUCUGGGAAUGUUCUGACGCUGAGGAGCGAAAGUGUGGGGAGCGAACAGG
rnacentral:rRNA from 1 species